UUAUUGAAGAAAUACAAGCUUUAAAGCUUAUAGUCAAACACUUGUGUCCAAAUGUUGUAGUACAACAAUAAAAACCAGAGCAACUUGAUCGACCAUGUUAGCAUAUUUUGGAAGUAUAGAUGGGUCAUGAUAAGGAUAAUGAGGGUCACCAGGUGAAUCUCCUUAAAUACAACUACCGACAUGAAUUCUAACACUAAUGACAUCUUUAAACACCUUAUCAUAAUUUUUCAUCUUUAAAAAAUAUGGAGUAACCUCAAGCAGGCGUGCAAUUGCAUCAAAAUGAACUAAACAUGCAUGAUAAUGAUAUUUUGCUUCAGCAUCACCACCAUCAUCUUUAAAAAAUAUGGAGUAACCUCAAGCAGGCGUGCAAUUGCAUCAAAAUGAACUAAACAUGCAUGAUAAUGAUAUUUUGCUUCAGCAUCACCACCACUUUUUGAGAUUAGCUUGUUGAGUAAAUUUAUGGUGUUGGUUGUGUUGGCUAAUGUUACGUCAAUUGUGUAUUGUGCAAGGCUAACGAGAUCUUGACUUGCACCUGCUUUUGAAUUCAGAAGAGUUAAACAAAAUGAAGGAUUUUUUGCUCCCUUACAAAUUGUAUCAACAUCCACAGUUUUGACGGCAUAAGAAGAUGCAACACAUAAAAGAAAAAUUAUUACAACCAAAGAGAAGUGAGCCAUUGUAUUCUCAAUUCUAUUCUCUAAUAGUAUUAUUGGCCAUUCUCGUUCCUAUUUAUAAUUUUAGUUUAUAGAAUUUUCAAAAAAUUAAAAAUAAUAACAUAAUUGGAGGGAUAUAAUGGUAAGUUACAUUAACUCUCAAGGGUAAAAGGUAUAUCAAUUUGUUCUUUUUUUUCCUCUCAAAGUUACAUCCAAACUAAUGUGCAUUAAGUGCUCAAAAUAUAGUAUGAAACUUUUGAAUGAUUUAAAAUUUAUGCACAACGCUUCAUGACUUAAAAAUUUUGAACACUUAGAAUUUUUUUUUUGAAUGUAAGAAAAGAUUUAUGGAAGAGGUAAAUAUGAAUUUGUUGUUCCUUUGGUUGACUGAUUUAGGUAAAACAACAUGUGCAAAAUAAGAUGAAUUUGUGAAGAGGAAACAUGUGGGGCAAGAUGUUCUACCAUGUGUGCAAUGUUUAUCCUCAGUCUGGAAGACGAAUUCAAUGAGUAAAUAUGAACAUGUUUUUUAUUGAUUCCAAUAAGAUUUGUCAUUUAACUGUUGUAUCUUUUAGCAAUAUGUUUUCAAAGAAGAUUGGCUACAAAUAUUUUCCAAGACCAAAACACCAAAUCAAAUUAAAUGAGAUCAAAUCUUAAAUAUAAAGACACAUGUAGUAUUAGGAAGUAGGCAUUAGACAAGGUUUGUCCAUCUAAGAGUAAUUGUACUAAUACUAUUGAGCGUGAAUUUUCUUUAUGGGGUUGGAAGCCCCCCAGACAUAGGCGACGUUGCACUAAAUUUGGUUAACAAUUCUCUUUUGUUACUUAUUUUUUUCCCUUAAAUUCCUUUGUUUGUGAGAACAUGUUAUCAAUUGUUUAUUGUAGUACACAUUGUAAACGCCUCAGACUACUUUCAAGAUUAUCAACUGAUCCCACUGUUUACCAUGAAAAUCGGAAAACAUCCGCUGAUCUUCCAAAUUUCUAAAUUUGGUUACUUACAGGAUCGAUCAGAUUGAUCCUAUGACAUGUGCUAAUUGUUUUUGAAAAUGAAAUUUGGUAGUAACGAAUGCUCAAUAAUAAGCAACAAAUCAAAGUUUGAAAACUAAUAAAAAAAGGUGAUGUGAACGAAAGAAAUCGUAAAGGAUUUAUAAAUGACAAAGUAAAUGUCGAAAGUGCAGGAAUCUUAAAAUUGUAAAGUAAGUGUUGAAAGCAGGGAAAAAUAAUGAAAUCUUAAAACUGCAAAGGAAAAAGUAAAAGGAAGGUGUUUGAAAUGAAGAAGUAAGGAUGUAUAUUUCUGGAAAAAAAGUAAAUACAAAUUUAUAUUGCUUUGAAAUAACUAACAAAGGUGUAGUCAACAAACAUUCUGUGCUUUACGAUUCUUCUUCACACGAAUACUUGGUAAAUUUACAGAUUCUUAUAUACAAUUUGACACACCCUUUUCUAACACUAAGACCCUAUAUUUAUAAUGUAUCGAGAUAACCGCUUUUAUGGUUCUUCAAUCACGUCGAGACACAUGGCGCCUUGCAUGCGCACAUUCAUCCACUAUGCUCCACGUGUGCUCUCACGGUUUUUGAUGAAGGCAAUGUUCCCUCCCUUAUUUUAAUUUUGAAUCUUUGAUCGAAAACCGUUUUCAACCAUUUCUUUAAAAAAUCCCUCUAGAGUAUCAGAUGUAUGCUUGAUCCUUAUUCACCUAGCCCAGUCGAUUCACCUCCAGCUGGUCGAAUACUACUUCCUGGUCGUAAACAGUUGCGCAUAUAAUUUCCAAUUUUGGUAAUUCUUAAUGGGCAUAAAAAAUAUGAGCCAACAAAUUGCCCCACAAAAAAUGGUAUUUUCGACAUGUGUGAGAAAAUACAUUUUUUGAGACCCUGCCUCGAUGCCUCGAUAACUCUGACAUUGUGCCAGAUGUCUCAAUGUUAGUAGAACUUUUCAGCUUCUUCAACUUGUCUAGUGACGUUAGAGUCAUCAUUGCCUUUUUCCUACCCACAUCUUUUUAGCCCACAACCGAAUCUUUUUUACUCAUCACGUUUCGUAGCUUCUAGGAAAUCGUGGGCUACAACAUUAAUUGUCAUCUCCAUUACACUGCACAAGGGAUACACGUGUCCCACUAACUAGUCCCCCAUUAAUACUGAUUUGAAAUGCUCUCUCUUCCAAGCAUGCCUAUAAAACACAUUUUCUUACUCAUUUCACAUUUUUCUUAUGCUUUCUGAAUCUCCAAGCACUCUAGACCUCUUUUCUUCAAAUAUGCUUUAACUAAACCCAUAUUUCCUUCAAACCCUAACAAUGACAACCUUAAGCAAAGCUCAUAAGGGAACAAGGGUCUCUGCCAAAACCACCGCGAAUAGGACCAAAGCUCCUAAAAAGAUCUUUGAACUUCCUCCAUUCGCUACGCUGUCUGCUCCAUUCGCGGUUGGCAACCGACAAUACAUACCAGAGCCUCAAAUAGAAGAACAACGCAAAAUUUACGCUUCUUAGGUAAUUAUUCUUGUUUCUGUUUCUAAAAUAACUUAUGCAUUAUCUGGGACCUUAGUUGAUUUAGAUGCUGAUGCUAGUAAGCUUAGAGGAUUUUUCCCCUCUUACCAUAAAUGCAAACCUAUAGGGCAGGCUAGAAACCCUAGAACUGAAACUACCUCCACUGAAAACCCUUAGGCUGGGGAUACUAUAGAUCUGAGGUUUGUGAAUAAUGGUUUUAGAGCCUUCUGUGCUACUCCCACCUUUAAAGAUUCUACUGAUUACCUAAACUGGUUAACCAAAGUAGAGAAAGAGAAAUCCCAAGCUUGGAAAGACAUAGGAAUAUAUGACCUGAUUAUGCUGUCGAAACUGAAUUUAGAUUACAAUACUCCCAUGUUGAUAUCCUCGUUGUACUUCUGGGAUAAUACACAUUAUACCUUCCACCUUCCUUGUGGUAUGGUCGCACCAACCCUCUUUGACAUGGCCGCCAUCACAGGGCUGGAGCCCACUAGAUAUACUUAUGAUCCUGACAUCGAUUUUAUGGAUACCAUCGCCUUUUCAACCACCAGAUCAGCGUACUCAACACACAUUGUGCAUUACCAUGAUAAAGAUAUUGACGUUGUCUCUGACGUGAAACACAUAGUUUUUUGGCUUUGUGGUUGUCACAUUCUGUUUUUUGUUCGAAAUCCCUACAUGUUGCCAAGAAAUAUCUUACUUUGGCGGUAUCUUAGGGCAAAAAAUUAGGUCUUUAAAUUUAAGUCUCUCCAAUCUUGUCGAGACGAAGAUUUCAACCUUCAUAUCUCCAAAUUGAAGAAACUUAAAUAAGGGCAUCUGUGAUACCCUUAUUUUUAACCCUAAGAUCCCACAUCUCAUUUGCAUCUUUGGCAUACAAACAAGGUCACAUCUUGGCCCUCCCCUAUCCAUAUUUGGGUUUGCGUUUUGCAGGGAUCACCAAGCACCUCUUUGUUUACCUUUGUAUAUAUAUGUUCAUUGCUUAUCUAACCACUAAUAUAAAUACCAAAAAUAUGUCUUGAUUCUCUUGAGUUUAUUGUGCAAGGUAGGGCUUUUCAAAUCAAGAGUAUCUCAACGUUUUGUGGCUUACUUCUCAAGAAAAGUCAUAGGUUCAUGUGUUUAUUUCCAUGCCUUCUUCAACAAGUAACUUCAAGAUUUGAGAAAUUAAAUCAAGAGACCAUCAAGGAUAACUUAUUUUGAUUUGAUAUGAUCACCCAUGUGCUUUGAAGUGCAACCAAAAUCCAAGUGCACAAGCUUGUUCCAAGUGGUUUGACAUAAAAGUCAAUAUUUUUAAGUCAAAGUUCCAAGAAUCAUAACUCCUUCAAUUUUUAACAUUUUUAAUGCCCCUUUUUCCUUAUGACUCUUAUCAACAUCCUAUACAACUUAUUUUUACUUAACAAGAGUCGAUUAUGCUUGGAGGAUCAUCAAACGUUUGGAGACAUUAUAGGUCAUUUGACCUAUUUUCAAGUGACUUUUUGCCAACUUUCAAGGAUCAUAACCUCUUUAAUUUUCAACAUAUGGAGCUGAUUAUUUCUGCAAAAUGUCAUCUGAUACCACUGAAGGAGAAGAGCAAUCCAAAAUGCAGCAGAAUUUAAAAAAAAUUCUCCUUUAGUGAUCCUUACGAAUGGGCAUGAUCAGUGAUAGAAUCGUUACCUCUUGUGGCGAUUGUAAGCUUUGAUGCAGAUCUACGGAGCGAUCACGAACGUUGAACGAUGACAAUGCCUCUACUCAGUCGACAGGAAUGGAUUCCUUCAAUCUCAGUGCUAGCUGCUAUGAAUGAAGGCUUUGAGUGAGAGAGAGAAACGAAAUUGCAACUGCUCAAAUGCUUCUGCACAAGGGUUCUAUUUAUAGAACCACUUGUGUGGGCUGCAAGCUAAAAAUCCCACUUAAGUGUAUGUGGCCAAUAUCUUAUAAUAUGCCAAAAUCACUUAAGUGCGUGGUACCUUACCAUAUUUCGUAUUCUACUUAAGUACACCAUACCUUACGAUGUUAUACAAUUCACUUAAGUGCACCGUACCUUACGGUGUUCCUUAGUUACUCUAUCUCUCAUCAAUCCGUCCUUUUGUGUGUGACCCUCUAAGUUUUCGUGGCAUUGGAAAUUAUAUUAAAUCACAUAUUUAACAUAAUAAACAGUGAGCGGUAUCUAGCAACACAUCACUACUACCCAAGACAUGAAAAUUUCAUGUGAUUUGACAAAUCCUUUUGUGAUAAUACUUAUGUGUAUAAAUACCCUUUUUCCCUUAUGUCAAUAUUGAACACAAGGCAUAGACCGUGUCAUCCCUGUCCAAUUCAAUAUUGGGCCCAUAGGCAUUUAUCCUGUUACACAGGAUGGGAAAAUUCCAUCUAGGUUACUCAUGUCCCUUAGCAUGCUUUGUAGAGUACCCAUUAACUGUCUUUAUGGUCAUCCAGUUACAGACAAUGUUUGAUCAGCAAUAAGGCCCCCGACUCUACAUCUAGGGUCCAUAGUGGUUUCAGGUCGAAGGGUGGUAUACACCAUUAUCACCAUGAGAAUAACUUAUGACACUUUGCAUAACAUUCUAUGUAGUAUUCUCAUAGCGAGUCAAUCCAGUACAAAUAUUACUCUUACUAUUCAUACCUAUGUUUAAGACUUGAUAACUCCUUAUCCAUGAUCCAUGAGAUGUGAUCAUCAGUCUAUAUACAUAAUAGUCUUAAUGCUUUAAUGUUAUCCCACUUCACAAUAAAGCUCGACUAUAGAUACUUUAAGAAUAAUGUCCUUAUGUUUAAUGUGAUCUCAUGAUUAAGUCACACUUGAUACAUUAAACGAACUAGCUACUUUAGGGACUUUAUUAAACAAACAUAAUAAAGAAAAAGCCUUUUAUUAUUAAUAAAUAAUUCGAUACAAGUACCAAAAGUAUUGGCCUCUAGGGCUUACACCAACAAUAUCUUCAAGGACCAAGGUCAAAAUAUGCUUGGAAGGCCAUUGAAUUCAUUGGGACAUUUUAGGUCAUUUUCAGCCAUGAAGCACUCAAAGUUUUCUCUGUUAUGGAACUAGUUUUUCUUGCCAACUUCAACAUGCCAUAACUUUGUGCUCAAACAUCCAAAUGCAACCCUUAUUGGCUCAUUGUAAUCUUGGCCAUGAUGUUAACAAAUUGCAAGAAGAAUGAGAUUAAAAAGCCUCUUGAGUAGGAUGCCCCAUUGAGUUAAAGAUGGUGACUAGAAACUGGAGAAAUCACCAUUGCCCAAACUUUGCACAUCACUAAUCUCAAUUCCAAGCCAAAUUAGAAAGUGUUUUGGUAUUAAACAUGUUUUAACAAGUCUCCAGUAGUUAAUUGACACUUAAAACACAACAUUUGGCAGAGUUUCGAGGAGUUUCAAGUCACAUUUUUCACACACUUUGAUCAAAUUCGUUUUGCACGAAUUCUUCAUUAUUCCACACGUAUUUAGAUCCAAACACAUUCCCUAUAAAUAGAGGAUGCUAUUGACUUCUUUUGCAAGAAUUGGAGAGCCAAGAAACCCCUACUGCAACUUGAAACUUUUCCAGAAAAUUCAACUAUCGUGUUUUGAGUUUCAGCAUGUUUCAAACCAUUUUCGUGAUUCCAUUAGCUCCAUCGACAUCCUCUAAAAAUUUUGCAACAAUUCCCAAGCUCGGAGACCUUAUAAAGUGUUCUAACCAUAUAGAGCUUCAUCAAAUUCUGAUCACCAUCUGGACAGGUUAGUUCUGAGCGUCAUUUGAACUCAAACAAGUUAGCACUAUGUAGUCCUUCACUCUCUGAUGCUUUCCCCUAACUUAUCUGGUGUUGAUUGAUCGUGUUUCAUCAUUUAAUUUUAUUUUUCGUGGCUUGCUUGUUUUUGAAACUUCUUUGAAAUUCCAUUUGCCCAGUUCACAUAAAUGAAUUUGGAGCACAAGGUUGAAUCCGGGAUGAGAAGAGGAUCACAAUGGUGGUGGUCUCGUGUCUUGAAUUUACCAAACGAUGAAACUCCGGUGAGAGCUCACCAGAGAAGAUGACCGGAGUAUUUCUUAGGUGAUCUGAGUUUCGACCAGGCAUGUUGGCAUUUUGAAAUGUUUUGAUUGGUUAAAUUCAAACUAGAUUUUGUGUUUUGCUUGCAGCGCGUUCCAUCGUGUUUCUCAACAUUGGGUGUGUUGGGUCUGCCACAUCAAUUAAUGAGGCGUGAUCCAACGAUCCUGGUUUUUUCUGAUUUAUUUCUUUUUCUAUUUUAAUUUUUAAAUUUAUUUUUAUUUAAAAAUUCAUAGUAAUUUCAUUAUUUAUCCAAAAAAUCCCAAAAUAAUUUCAUUCUUUAUUCUAAAAAUUUAUUAUAUGUUUCUCAUUUUAUUUCCAAGCUUCCAUAAUUUUCUUGGCCAUUUAUUUGGUGUUUUGAAGGACUUUGUCAAUUUUUCAUUUUAUUUCCAUUUUAAACUCAUUUAAAAAAUACCUUAGAUUCAUUUUUAUUUCCUUUAAUUGCAUUUUAAAUUUCUUCGACCUUGUGGACUUCUAUUGGCCUUGGAUCAUGAUGAUUUUGACUUUAAGUCUCAUCAAACCCAAUGGAUCUGUUAUGUUGAUGGGGUGAAAACCCUAAUCCACCAAAAUGGAUUAUUUAUUUUGAUGGUGACUUGAUCAAAAUUUUGAUCCAAUUUGGGUGUCACCUCUCUUGUCCCCUUCUUCUUCAUCCCCUUCUUUUCCCUUGGAUCAAUUGGAUGGCUUGUGUCCAUCUUGUUCAUGAUGUGUGGAUUGGUACUUGAUGAACUUUCAUCAUUUCAAAUCUACCUUCUAAGUGAUCAUUAAUCAUUUAAGGUACUUUGGGUUGAUGCAUAAGUUUUUCUUAAGUGUCAUGAAGUGUGGAUUGAGGUAAUGGACCAUCCUCCUAGCCUUUGUGUUUGAUCAUCCCAUUUUAUUUUUUUCUUUUCUUGUGUGGCAUGGCAUUAGGAGAAUCAUUUACAUAUCAUUUGUCAAGCAUGUAUUAACACAAAUAUUCUUAUUGACCGACCUCAGAUAGCUGUGACUUCUACAUAAGUUCAAUUACGAUUGCUUAACAUAGCGCUAAAUUUGUCUAGAAAAGGCAUAUUUAGAAGUGAGAUUGUAAGUAUCCUAUUCCUUAUGGUAUUAUGUGGAAAUGUUUUUCUUUUUCCAUUUGUGAGAGCCAAUGGCAUACUUGUUGAUUUUAUCCAAGUUAGAGCCCUUCUCAUAAAUUAUGCCUAGGAUCAUAUUUUCAUGCUUGUGAGUGGAUAGUUGAGUGUUCUCCAAAAAGUGACCAAAACAUCUUUUCAUCUUCACUAAUUUUAUUUACCAACACUUUACUUGUGUUAACUUUUACUUCAAAGUCAUUUACCUCUAUGUCUUUAUUUUAUGCCAUUUGCUUUAUGCUUUAUGAUUAACAUUUCAUAUCAUAUUAUUUGAUUUUAUGUCCUUUUUCUCUUUGCCCAUUUGGACAUUUCUUUUAUAUCAUUGUUAAGAAGACACUAAUAAAAAUAAUCUUGUUUCUCCUAACUCGUGGACUUAUGGUUACUAUCCUUGGCAUCAUUAUGGAGUUAUGGACUUAGGAUUAGGAUCUUGACCUUUGCUUUGGGACAUGCGAUUCUAUGACUUUGGAAUUCAUCUGAUACCUGUGAUUUUGGAGUUCUCUGUGAAGACUUGGCUUGGUUAGUCUAGUUUCAUCUGCUACAUGGAUUAUCAUUUUGCUUAUUUUUUGCUUGCUUGAGGCUUAGUCCAAAGGAGGUAGUUCUUGCUUGACUUAUGUCAUAAAUCUUUCUUUUUCUUGGUUAGAUCUUUCCUCCCUAACUUUUACGUUAUGCUUUAGGAUAGUCUCUUCUUCUCAUCCCUUUCUUAAAUUUUCAAAUCUUCUCCCUCUUUUAAAAACCUUCUUGCUUUCUAACUUGAACCACUUUCUCAAUAAACCUUGACUUUUGUCAAGUGAUUUUCAAAACCUUUUUAUUAAUAAAUUCAAAUCCAUCUUAAGCAUAUUUAGACCAAUUUCAAAAGACUAAAAAAAUGUAUAACUCAUUCAAAUAAUUUUGUGCCUUUGCGAACUUUUCCUUUUAAAACUUUACUCAAGGCAUUAGACAUGAGUCAUUUCCAUAGUUGAGUUAUAAUUCUCCUAUCUCCAUAGUAUUGAUGAUGAUUCUUUUCCAUUUGUGAGAUCUAGUGGCAUACUUGUUGAUCCUUAUCAAAGUUGGAGCCUUUCCCAUGAUUAUGCAAAGUUCUCAUACUUAUGGGUGACUGGUUUAGUAUUCUCCUUAAAAUGACAAAAUGUCUUUUCCAUAAAAAAUGAAUCAAAACAAACUCCUUUUGUUAUCUUUACCACAAACUACAAGAUUUUAAUUCUCCAUUGCACUUUGUUGGUAUGUAGGCAUGAGACUUUCAAAAGUCUUGGCAAACACAAAAAUAAUAAAUAUACUUCUUUUCUCAUCCCUCCAAUAUUUUAAUAAACAACACCUUUUCUAAACCAAAAUUUAAAUAUUUUCAAAGAAAUUCCCAUGGAGUACCAUGGAUGUUUAGGGUUUUAAUACCUUCCCUUUUCGUAAUUAACCCAUGGAACCUUAUUCUCUUUAAUUAGUUUUAUUUUAAAACUUCUUCGGGUUUUGUUCGUAAUUUUUCCAUUUUCCCUUGGAAACAAUAAAAGCAAGAUGGUGACUCUUGCUUUGCGAGAUAAGUUAAUCAAUAGUUUAAUCUCAAAAUAUUUAUCGCUAUAAUCUGUUACUUUUUUUCCUUUUCUAAAAGCAUUCUUAUUUUUUAUUAAAAACAUGGUUUAUAGGUAAGAACCUACGGUGACAGUCAAACCCCUAACUUUUCCCACCCAUUUCCAAAGUAAAUGCUUUUGUGUGUCCCAUGCAACGCGGACAUCCCAUUUUUCCAUGUGUAACCUAACCAAACAACAUGCCAUAUACAAGAAAGUUGUUAAUUGUCCACAUAAAAGCAACUCACAUAUCAAAGUUUUGUUUAUGAAACACAACAUAAGUCCAUCCUCCAAUCCACAACCUCUUAGAUCAUCAAUUAAAUGUUGUAAAUAAACAUCUAUUCCCACCUUUGGGCUCAACGGUCCUAGAAUGAGGCAUGUCAAAAACAUGUAAGGUUUAGUCAUGCAAAUCUCAUGACGGAUGUUGAAUGGGGUAACAACAAUUUUGCCAACAAGAAUAGGCAAUUGCUGGUAAUUGGAUAUAAGGAGUAAAACCAUAUGAACAUAAUCCAAGACUGACAUUUCGGGGUUCUGCUGCAAAAUAUGUAUGUCGCAUCAUGCCUAAACUAGUUGUGUUUGUAUUUUGCCAUGUCAUUUGGCUUGCAUUAUGCAUUGAUGCAAACAUUCUUUGCAACCUAGGUAUUUUUGGAAGAUAGAACAUGGACUUUAAAACAACUCAUUUUUUCUUUAGAUCAACGCCUUUACUGCGAACUACAUACCUUGGACACUUACAAAACAUACAUUCCUCCAAUGUCCAAUUAUUUGUACCAAACUUAUUAUCAUAAAACAACAUGCAAUCUCCUAUGGAACAGUCAAUUUGUGUUGACCACUAGAAGCCUCUUUAUUCAUCUCUGGUAGUUUUUCUCCAUUAUAUGUCCAAAUCCAAUAAUUUGGCCUAAAACUCGUUCUCUCCAAGUAACGUUUCACUUCACUUGGAUCACUAAUUAUAUUAACGCACCUACACUUUAAACACAGACACCCUACCCCUCCUUCACUUCUUCAACAUUCUUUAGCAAACUCAUAUGUGAGAAAACUGACUUCGUCCUUAAAAUAUGGUUUAAGCUUACGUAUUCCUCGAAAUAUUCUAUCAUACAUCCAACUACGAUAGAAUCGAAAAUAUUCAGUACAAUAUUGUUCUUGUUUAAACUUGAUAAAUAAUCGAGGGAUUAAUCUAUUGACAAAUUUUAAAUUUUUUUAUCGAUAACAUCAUACAACUACCAUAUAUUUUUGAAAAGGGAGAUAAUAAUAUAUAUUAUACAUCUACAAAUAUCUAUUCAUUAUACACUUAAUUAAAUAUAAACUUUUAUAUACACUUCAAAUAUAUUACUAAACUAGAAUAUAUUACUAACUAAUACUAAAAUAUAUUACUAAAUAAUAAUAAAAACAUACUAUUUUUAAAAAUAUUAUUUCAAAAAUACUUUAUAAAAACAAUAUAAUACUAAAAUAAAAUAGUAUUUUAUUAUAAUAUUAUAUAUCACAUAAAACUUAAUACUUAUACAAUAAUUUAUAAGUGCUAAUUAUGUUUACUAAAAUAAUAUUAAAAUAUAUUACUAAAUAAUAAUAAAUAUAUACCAAUUUUUAUAUUGUUUUUUAUUUAUUUUUGAAAGUUAAUUUAUACUAUUUUUAAGUAUUAUUUAGAAAUUAAUAAAUAAAAACAAUAUAUAAUAUUUAAAUAAAACAUUAUUUUCUUAUUAUAUAAUUUAUUAUAUAGUACUUAAUAUUUCUAUUAAAAAAAUUAACUGUUCUGUUUACCAAAAUAUAUUAUUAAAUAAUAAUAAUAUUUAAUGUUUUUUAUAUUGUUAUUUGUUAUUUUCAAAAUAUUAUUCAUACUAUUUUAGAAGCUGUUAUUUCAAAAAUAAUAUUAUAUGAUAAAUAAUAAUAAAUCUACAUAUUAUUUAAAAAAUAAUAUAUAAAAGCAGUAUAUUAUAUAAUACAUAAAUAAUAUAUUAUUUCUAAAAUAAUUUAUUAUUUCUAAAAUAAUAUUAAUAAAAUACAUAAUAUAGAAUAUAUAAUAUAUUACUAAUAAAUAAGUAAUACUAAAUAAUAUUUAAUAUAUAAAAGUAAUAUGUUAUAGAAAAACAGUAAGUUAUAAAAUCUUUAUAAAUAUUAUUUAUAAAUAAAAAAAAAUGAUAAAUAAUAUUAAAUAUAUAAUAUAUCACUAAUAUAUAAAAACAAUAUGUUAUAUAAUACAUGAAUAAUAUAUCAUUUCUAAAAUAAUGUGACCAUAAUACAUAAUAUAUAAUCUUAUUCCAAAAAUAAUAUUACCAUAAUACAUAAUACAUAAUAUAUAAUCUUAUUCCAAAAAUAAUAUUAAAUAAUACAUAAUAUAUUAUUUCUAUCAACUAUUAAAAAAUAUAAACUAAUAUUAACUACUAUUUAACCAAUAUCAAGAAAUAACAAUAAAUAUUCAAAGAUUCAUAUAUUCAUAUUUAAAAAAAUAUAAAGAAGAAAUGUGUACCUUGGAUGAAAAAUUAAACGAUUCUAAACUUUUAAUUUUACUCUCCUUACAAAAGUUUAACCCUUUAUAAAAAAAAUGGAAAGUGAACAAAAUAAAUUAAAAUUAGGGGUUUGAUAUAAUCCAAAAAUGAAAAGAAAAAAUAAAUAAGAAAUUUAUAAAAUCAUCUUCCAAAUGACAAGAUUGUUGAAGAUUUUUUGAUGAAAAUAUUAAUUUGGUGGUGGAAGAAUGAGGUUAAUGAAGUGAAAUUCGGUGAAAAUGAAAAACCAGAGAAAGAGAAAGAGAUGUGUUGAAGCGGUGGAAUGGGAAAAUGGAAGGGGCGGUGCAAAUAUAUGGAAUCAUUUUGCGAGGGGGCUCCCCACGUUAGCUAAACGAUCAUAAUUAGCUAGGAGAAGCCCCUCGCAAACUGUAAGGACUUUAUUAAAGCGAAUGACACGUGCUCAGGUGAUGGGAUAAUAUGCAGACCCAUCUCAAAUAUUUCGAGGGGUUGUCCAUGCAAAUGCAACGGAAAUAUAUGGCUAGGGGGCGCGCCUUGCAAAUUAAACAUAUUUAUUAAAGUGAGUGACACGAGGUAGCUAUUAUGGGAUAAGGUGCAGACUGAUCUCAAAACCUCGUGGUGUUGUCAUUCGCAAUUUUUUUUGAAACUAUUAGUUAGGGGUGUCGCAUCUCAAUUGGUCAAUUUUAAAAUUAGUCUUACAUUUAUGAGGGAUUUCCCUACACCAUUUGCUUUAUUAAUUGUAUUUUUAACUUUAUGCAUUGGGAUGUGAUAAACUCCAAAUAAUGUAGAAAUUUAGUGAGGAAUUUUUCACCUUGUAAAUAUCCCUGAUUAAUCAAACAAUUUCUUAUAGUGUAAUCUCGGGGACUGGUUUUAGCUUACUACGUUAGAAAACAAAUAAUCUAAAGAAGAAAAACAUGACAUUCGAGAGAGUAUGUUUUACCUAUCAAUACAAACAAACAAAAUGUUAACUUUUAUUUAACAUGGUUUUAUGGUAAUAAUUUUUAUUUUUAUUUUUGAAAUUAUUUCGUAAAGUAGUAUAUAUAUAUUAAUACAUUUUUUUGUAAUAGUCUAUACUAAUAUAUAAAAGCAAAACAUGAUUUUGGUGUAGUUUUUUUCUUCCAAAUAUACCAUUUUCAAUUUUAUUUUAAAUUUUAACUUCUAUUUUCCACAAACGGCGGUUAUACGACAAUUUAUUAUUUUUCAUAUCAUGUUUAACUACAUAAUUUAAAAUAAAAUUAAAAUUAAAUAAAAGUAUAAUACAAUUUAUAUUGUAUGCGUAUAAAUAUUAGAGAGAGUGAGAAAGUGGAUACACAGACACGUGUCUGUCUGGACGCUAGUAAUAAAUAUAAUGACAACAAAUAAUCUAAAGAAGAAAAAAAUGACAUCUGAGAGAGUAUGUUUUAGCUAUUCAAUAUAAAUAAACAAAUUGUUCACUUUUAUUUAACAUGGUUUUAUGGUAAUGAUUUUAUUUUGUUUUAUUUGUUGAAAUUAUUUGGUAAAGUAGUAUAUAUAUUAAUGCCCUUUAUUGUAAUAAUAAUAAAUAUAAUGACAACUUUGAAAAUAAUAUAUUGACUUAUUUGUUGUAACACAUUAUUGAAGAAAUACAAGAUUUAAAGCCUAUAAUCAAAUACUUGUGUCCAAAUGUUGUAGUACAACAAUAAAAACCAGAGCAACUUGAUUGACCAUGUUAGCAUAUUUUGGAUAUAUAGAUGGAUAAUGAGGGUCACCAUGUGAAUCUCCUGAAAUACAAUUAUCAACAUGAAUUCGAACACUAAUGGCAUCUUUAAACACCUUAUCAUAAUAUUUCAUCUUUAAAAAAUAUGGAGUAGCCUCAAGCAUGUCUGCAAUUGCAUCAAAAUGAACUAAACAUGCAUCAUAAUGAUAUUUUGCUUCAGCAUCACCACCAUUUUUUGAGAUUAGCUUGUUGAGUAGUUUUAUGGUGUUGGUU
rnacentral:lncRNA from 1 species